rnacentral:lncRNA from 1 species
UCCUCUCUUCUCUUAUCUUAUCCUCUCCUCUUCUCUUAUCUUAAGUCCCUACUGCUUACUCACUCUGUCAUUUUCCAGUAAGUCCCUGCUCAUUUUCUUAGCUUUAUUUUGUACCUGUAGGUUCUAUCUCACAUCUCUGAGCCAAAGUUUCUCACAUGCUUGUUUAUUCAAUAUUUUUCUGACAUACGCGUAAUACAGAUGGCGUGCCCAAAGUGAAGUCUGACCGCACUCUCCUUAAGGCAAGGGAUUUGGGUUUUGGCUAUCCGGAGACUUUGAAAGAUCAGUGGUAACAUACUUUUAGCCGUGAAGGGUGAAAUGCUCAAAUGUUUUUGUGCCAAUGAAAGAUCCAGCUUCCAUCUAUGCCGUGAAGGGUGAAAUGCUCAAAUCUUUAUUUUGUUUUCGUGGUACCCCUUUUGUGCCAAUGAAAGAUCUUCCUGACAGAGAGGGCUUAAGGAUCUUCCUGUCAGAGGAGUACAUUAUUUUGUUUGACAGGAGUAUUUCAAGAUCAAUACAUUAUUUUGUUUGACAGGAGGGCUUAAGGACCUAUCAUGGUGAUUUCAUAUUAAAAUUGAGGAGUACUCCUGUUCAUUUGGAGAACUCAAACAGCAAUUGAUAUGCAUCAAAAUUGGGAUCAACAGUAGCAUGGGGCCUUAUCAUUCUGGUUUUUGGAUGACUUAGUUAAUCAAAUUCCUCAAUUGAGGAACACCUGGACUUGUCAUUCCGGUCUUGGGAUAUGGACUUAUCAUUCUGGUUUUUGGAUGAUUUAGUUAAUCAAAUUGACAUCAAUUGACCUGUUUUUUGGAUCACUUGCAGAUUCUCUUGAUUGGAGUGGAGAGGAGCAGAGACGAGAGGAGCAGCAGAAGUGGACAGCGCAGCGGCUGACCUUGAGCUCUUGAUUGCAGUGGGGGGAGGCGGCCGGCGAAGGAUCUGUGGCCAGCAGCGAAGGAUCCAAAGCUGUGGCGGAGCAGGCAGCCGGCGGGAAGGGCGGCUGGCGAGGGAGCUGCGGACCGCGGCGGGGAAGGGCGACCGAUGAGGGAGCUGCGGACCACGGCGGGGGGAGCUGCGGACCGCGGCGGGGAAGGGCGACCGAUGAGGGAGCUGCGGACCACGGCGGGGAAGGGCGGCCGGCCGGCAAGGCAGCUGCGGACCGCGGCGGGGAAGGGCGGCCGGCCGGCAAGGC